UACGUAGGGGGCAAGCGCUGUCCGGAAUCAUUGGGCGUAAAGAGCGUGUAGGCGGCCAGAUAAGUCCGCUGUGAAAUCUCGAGGCUCAACUUCGAGCUGUCGGUGGAAACUGUCUGGCUAGAGUCCGGAAGAGGAGAAUGGAAUUCCUGGUGUAGCGGUGAAAUGCGCAGAUAUCAGGAAGAACACCCGUGGCGAAGGCGGUUCUCUGGGACGGUACUGACGCUGAGACGCGAAAGCGUGGGGAGCGAACAGG
rnacentral:rRNA from 1 species